GGCUGUCGUCAGCUCGUGUCGUGAGAUGUUGGGUUAAGUCCCGCAACGAGCGCAACCCUUGUUUGCUGUUGCCAUCAGGUAAUGCUGGGCACUCUGCAAAGACUGCCGGUGAUAAACCGGAGGAAGGUGGGGAUGACGUCAAGUCAGCAUGGCCUUUAUGUCUGGGGCUACACACGUGCUACAAUGGCCGAUACAAACCGUCGCGAGCCCGUAAGGGGGAGCUAAUCGGAGAAAGUCGGUCUCAGUUCGGAUUGUAGGCUGCAGAUGAGCCUGCAUGAAGUUGGAAUCGCUAGUAAUCGCGGAUCAGCACGCCGCGGUGAAUACGUUCCCGGGCCUUAUACUCACCGCCCGUCACAUCACGAAAGCCGGUUGUAC
rnacentral:rRNA from 1 species